CUGUAAUUUAUCAUAUUAAUUUGGGCUACCAGUAGCAUCGUUUAGAGAUUGUGCAAAUUGAGUUCACAAAUAUCACAGCUUUGGAAGAUCAAGAAGUGGUUUUGAACAUAGAGAUUCCAGGGAAAAAAAAUUCUGUGGGCUUUUUGCCAGAAUUACAACAUUUCUACAAAGGAUAAAAGAAUAAAGUCACCCAGCAAGAGGAACCCUGGUUUCUAGAGCUUGCCUUAUGGAGUGGGGGGUUAGAAUCAGGAACUGCGCUGACCACAGAGGAUCGGGCAACAUCGACUGUGUGCUGUUUGCUAACUGAAAGUUCAGAGGGAGACAGUUUGGCCCCUCCUUGGACCUCUGGCUGAGAGAAGGGAUGUACACGGAGUGGCACCAACACACCCAGGCAGACGCUCACAUUAUGAAACAUAAAUGCAGAGUGAACAAAGAGUGUUGCAAAUCACUCAGCUUGGCUAGCUGCUGCCAAAGCAA
ensembl:lncRNA novel transcript